rnacentral:rRNA from 1 species
GAUGAACGCUGGCGGCGUGCCUAAUACAUGCAAGUCGAGCGAACAGACGAGGAGCUUGCUCCUCUGACGUUAGCGGCGGACGGGUGAGUAACACGUGGAUAACCUACCUAUAAGACUGGGAUAACUUCGGGAAACCGGAGCUAAUACCGGAUAAUAUAUUGAACCGCAUGGUUCAAUAGUGAAAGACGGUUUUGCUGUCACUUAUAGAUGGAUCCGCGCCGCAUUAGCUAGUUGGUAAGGUAACGGCUUACCAAGGCAACGAUGGGUACCCGACCUGAGAGGGUGGUCGGCCACACUGGAACUGAGACACGGUCCAGACUCCUACAGGAGGCAGCAGUAGGGAAUCUUCCGCGAGGGGCGAAAGCCUGACGGAGCAACGCCGCGUGAGUGAUGAAGGUCUUCGGAUCGUAAAACUCUGUUAUUAGGGAAGAACAAAUGUGUAAGUAACUAUGCACGUCUUGACGGUACCUAAUCAGAAAGCCACGGCUAACUACGUG